rnacentral:lncRNA from 1 species
GGGUCAGAUCUUACAGCUUGAGGGCUCUUUCACCAAGACUGUGCUCCACUUCUUAUGCCAAUCACAAACCCAGGCUGCUUCACUUGUGCUUUUGACCAAACAGGUAUAAAUGAAAGAUCUCACAAUCCCUCCUUGGCUUCAGUUAAUUUGCUUGAAUGGCUUGCGGAGCUCAGGAGAAUGCUUACUUAAACUUGCUUGUUUCUUAUCAAGGAUAUAACCAAGCACACAGAUGAAAAGGUGUCCUUGGAAGAAGUUGAUUCCAAAUCUCAUGGAUGACUUUGAGGGAUUCAAAACUUCAGUGGAGGAAGUCAUUGCAAAUGUCAUAGAAAUAGCAAGAGAACAAAAAUAAAAGUGAAGCCCGAAGAUGACUGAAUUGCUGCAAUCUCAGGAUAAACUUAGAACGGAUGAGGAGUUACUCUUAUGGAUAAGCAGGGGAGAGGGAUGGAAAAGAAACAGGACAUUGAGGAUUUCUAGCCCACAGCAGUCCUUGUUAUGGCAGAUGUGGAAUCCCAAUCCACAGGAGGCAGGAGGCUGAGAGGUGAGACAAAACCUGUGAAAAUCAGAGAUGAGGGGCAAGUCUCGGCUUCUUGUGACUGAAGUGAUAGAGCCUUGGCAGACACUCACUUGGACUGACAAACGAAAUGAAAAUAUACACCCUUAAAACAAAGAAGACAUCUGAGUAUUCAUCUGAAAGAAUGGAAAUUAGGAUCUGGCAGGAAUAGCGUCACACGUUUAGUCAUUGCAGCAUUAUCACAGUUUCAAAAGCAGGGAGACAGCCUACGGUCCACUGAUCAGUGAGUGUUUACAGAAGAUGUGGUGUACAGAUGCAGUGGGAUCCUGUUCAAAUUCAUAGAUAAUUAUAUCUUGCCAUGUGGAUGACCCUGGAGGACACUGCACUGAGUGAAAUAAGUCAGUUGCAGGAGGAGAAAUGCUCCCCCAUUUGUGUGAGGUCUAACAUAGUCAGCCUAAUAGCAAUGGAGUGGAAUGCUUGCUGCUAGGGGCAGAGGGAGAAGGAAAUGGGGAGUCUGCUCAAGGAUAUGAAGCUUCAGUUAUACAAGAUAAAUAAAGUUUAGAGAUGUGCUGUGCAACAUUUCACUUACAGUUAACAAUGCUGUAUAAUGCACUUAAAAUUUUAUUAAGAGGGUAGAUUUCAUGUUAAGAGAUCUCAUGUUAAGUGUUCUUAU